rnacentral:rRNA from 1 species
UACGUAGGGUGCAAGCGUUGUCCGGAAUUAUUGGGCGUAAAGAGCUCGUAGGCGGCUUGUCGCGUCGGCUGUGAAAACCCGGGGCUCAACCCCGGGCCUGCAGUCGAUACGGGCAGGCUAGAGUCCGGCAGGGGAGACUGGAAUUCCUGGUGUAGCGGUGAAAUGCGCAGAUAUCAGGAGGAACACCGGUGGCGAAGGCGGGUCUCUGGGCCGGAACUGACGCUGAGGAGCGAAAGCAUGGGGAGCGAACAGG